rnacentral:lncRNA from 1 species
GGGAAAUCGGUGUGCAUACAAACUGGGAACAGAACCUGGACUCCCGAGGCCGGUCCUGGUUCUCAGAGUGAGGAUGUGCCGUCACCACGGAGCCAAGCAUGAAAUUUUGGGUCCCUCUCUGCCUCAGCAUAAUUCGUUCUCUGAAGGGACCACUAGCACAGCUGAGAAGUGCUUUAAGUCUGAGCACCACCGCGGAGACAAAGUACGGCUGGAGGACGAGUAUCAGUGCUGAGUCUGAUCUGCACACACUGAAGAUGCCCCCCAGGUCAUCUGGGUAUGAAACAGCUGCAAUCCGCAACGGCCCUGGGAGAAACCACUGAAGAGUGCCCUUCAGCAUCCACAGCAAGAAAAUCAGGCCACAGAAAGCUGUAAAGAGCCUUGGGAUGGAGACUGAGAAGAGGCAGGACCACCUCUGACAUUUACGUCAGUAGUGAGAAUCAGGUGGACUGAUGAAACCUCUAGUAAACCAAAGGCACCCUACACCUACGAUAGUUGUUAAGAUGUGCACAGACGUAGGAUUGACCCACAUCAAACCAUCAGAGGAAGCAUGCAGAGAUGCAGCAUGCACAUGACUCUCUAGGCCUCAGUUUCCUCACUAGUAAAAGAGACAACUUUAAU